GUUGGGCAGCCCCCCUCCCGAAGCUUCUGGAGGAAAAGCCCCGGGUGUCCCCCGGCAUGCCUCAUCUCGCGGCGGGGUGCGCGGCCGCCGGCCCUCGGGAGAAGUUGGGCGGCCCCGGGCGGCCACGGGGCCGUAUGGCCGCGUUCGUGCAGCGGUUGUAAGCAAGAUGCGGUAGCACGUGACCCUGGAACGCAAUCCCUGAUGCCGGUUCCCCGCCACCCGUGUGUUUUCUCUGACACUUGGCCCCAAGCAGAUGCAUCACAGGAUGAAUGAAAUGAACCUGAGCCCAGUGGGGAUGGAGCAGCUGACUUCAUCCUCUGUGAGCAAUGCCUUGCCAGUCUCAGGGAGUCAUCUAGGGUUGGCUGCUUCACCCACUCACAAUGCCAUUCCUGCCCCAGGCCUGCCAGUGGCAAUUCCAAACCUGGGUCCCUCCCUGAGCUCUUUGCCUUCUGCUUUGUCUCUGAUGCUCCCAAUGGGUAUUGGGGAUCGAGGGGUGAUGUGCGGGUUGCCCGAAAGAAACUACACCCUACCUCCACCACCUUACCCCCACCUGGAGAGCAGUUACUUCAGAACCAUUCUACCUGGCAUUUUAUCUUAUUUAGCUGACAGACCACCUCCUCAGUAUAUCCACCCUAACUCUCUAAAUGUUGAUGGUAAUACGGCAUUAUCUAUUGCCAAUAACGCUUCAGCUCUAGAUCCCUAUCAGUCCAGUGGAAAUGUUGGAUUAGAACCAGGCAUUGUUUCAAUAGACUCUCGCUCUGUGAACACCCAUGGUGCCCAAAGUCUUCACCCCAGUGAUGGCCAUGAGGUGGCCUUGGACACAACAAUCACUAUGGAGAACGUCUCUAGGGUUGCCAGCCCAAUCUCUACAGAUGGAAUGGCAGAAGAACUUACAAUGGACGGUGUUGCAGGCGAGCAUUCCCAAAUCCCAAAUGGCUCCAGAAGUCAUGAACCUCUGUCUGUGGAUUCUGUGAGCAACAACCUUGCAGCAGACACUGUAGGACAUGGUGGUGUGAUACCCAUUCACGGGAAUGGCCUGGAGCUCCCUGUGGUCAUGGAGACAGACCACAUUGCAAGUCGGGUCAACGGGAUGUCUGACAGUGCCCUCAGUGACUCCAUUCACCCCGUGGCCAUGAGCACCAACUCCGUAAGCGUGGCACUCUCUACCUCACACAACCUCGCCUCCCUAGAAUCUGUUUCCCUCCAUGAAGUUGGCCUAAGCCUAGAGCCUGUGGCUGUCUCCUCUAUCACCCAGGAGGUCGCUCUGGGGACAGGUCAUGUAGAUGUGUCUUCGGACAGCCUUUCUUUUGUGCCGCCUGCACUGCAAAUGGAAGACUCCGAUUCAAACAAGGAAAACAUGGCGGCCUUGUUCACCGUUUGGUGCACUCUCUGUGACCGAGCCUAUCCCUCAGACUGCCCCGAUCACGGACCAGUGACUUUUGUUCCUGACACUCCAAUAGAGAGCAGAGCGAGGCUUUCUCUCCCAAAGCAGCUUGUUCUCCGCCAGUCAGUUGUGGGAGCAGAAGUUGGUGUGUGGACUGGAGAAACCAUUCCUGUGCGGACUUGCUUUGGGCCUCUCAUUGGCCAACAGAGCCAUUCCAUGGAAGUAGCAGAAUGGACAGACAAGGCAGUCAACCAUAUAUGGAAGAUAUACCACAAUGGUGUCCUAGAAUUCUGCAUCAUUACAACUGAUGAAAAUGAAUGUAAUUGGAUGAUGUUUGUGCGCAAAGCCAGGAACCGGGAAGAGCAGAAUUUGGUGGCUUAUCCCCAUGAUGGAAAAAUCUAUUUCUGCACCUCACAAGAUAUCCCUCCUGAAAAUGAACUGCUUUUUUAUUAUAGCCGGGAUUAUGCUCAGCAGAUUGGUGUUCCCGAACACCCAGAUGUGCACCUCUGUAACUGUGGCAAGGAGUGCAAUUCCUAUACAGAGUUCAAAGCUCACCUUACCAGCCACAUCCAUAACCAUCUUCAUAGCCAGGGCCACAGCAGCAGCCAUGGGCCAAGCCACAGCAAAGAAAGGAAGUGGAAGUGCUCAAUGUGCCCCCAGGCUUUUAUCUCUCCUUCCAAACUUCAUGUCCACUUUAUGGGUCACAUGGGUAUGAAGCCCCACAAGUGUGAUUUCUGUAGCAAGGCUUUUAGUGAUCCCAGCAACCUACGGACCCACCUCAAGAUACAUACAGGUCAGAAGAACUACAGAUGUACUUUGUGUGACAAGUCUUUCACCCAGAAGGCUCACCUAGAGUCGCACAUGGUUAUCCACACGGGCGAGAAGAAUCUCAAGUGUGAUUACUGUGACAAGUUGUUUAUGCGGAGGCAGGACCUCAAGCAGCACGUGCUCAUCCACACACAAGAACGCCAGAUCAAGUGUCCCAAGUGUGAUAAGCUGUUCUUGAGAACAAAUCACUUGAAGAAACAUCUCAAUUCUCACGAAGGAAAACGGGAUUAUGUCUGUGAAAAAUGUACAAAGGCUUAUCUUACCAAAUACCAUCUCACCCGCCACCUGAAAACCUGCAAAGGUCCCACCUCCAGCUCAUCAGCACAAGAGGAGGAAGAAGAUGACGACUCAGAGGAGGAAGAACUAGCAGACUCUGUGGGGACAGAAGACUGUCGGAUUAACAGUGCUGUGUAUUCAGCAGAUGAGUCUCUUUCGGCACAUAAAUAAAAGCCAACUAUUUUGGAUGGAAAACGCAAAAGGGAAAAACAUAUACAACCAGUUAUCCACUACAGUGGUUUUUAUAUAAAAUGGUUUCUCAUUUUCUUCCAGCCAACAGUCAAAGACUGAAUGGGAAUGGAUAAAGCACUUAUAGAAGAGUAUCCUAAUGAGAACACUUUAGAACAGAUUGGGAAAAGAGAGCAGGUAAACUAUUUUUAAGUGGUGUAUGGGGAGGAAAGUGUCAGCUUUUGAAGCCCGCUCCUUAUUUACAUGAUAAACUAGGUGAUGCAUUUAUACCUGAGUCAAAGCUGUCUUCCACCCAGACAAAUCAGAUUUAUUUUAAAUUCUUCCAUUGUUCCAUUUUCCUCCUGGCCCUAUGAUGUGGUAGCAUGCUAAACUUGGUCUCUGCCUCACAGUCAUCCCGAUUGCUGAUUGUGGUUCUGGUGUUGUGUUUUAUGUAGACUGUUGUGACUUAAGUCAUCCCAGAAUGGAUUGGAACACAGCAGUGUAAGCUUGUUGCUUUGACUUCAGCUGACAGGUUUAAAGCACCACCUGCCUUAAUCUCUCUUGGCUACUUGGGAGUUUAGGGUAGAUCUUGCUUCCCAAAAUUUCAGCAGAAGCCUAGAGGGCAGAUAAAAAAGGACCAGCCAGGCAACAGGCAAUGUUGGAGAAAAGAAAAGGAGAGACAUCUGGGCCACUGUCCAAAAAAACUAGCUUUGAUGGAAGCCAGGUUGAGACACCUGUUACUAACAGUUCCUUAGAGAUCUGUGUAGGUUUAGACAUGUCUCUGUCUCCAGUAAAGCCUCUAGCCUCUAGACAAAGGGGAGCUGGAGGUGUAGUGAGUCAAAUAAUGCCCGCUGGAUUAUCUCCUGACAGCAAACACAUGAGGACUCAGCUGGCAGAGUGGUACCUCGGACCGUGGCAGGAAGGAGGGAAUGAUCCUUUAUAUCUGGCUUAUCCUGCGAAAAAGAACAAGACACCAUUAAAAUGGUGCCAACUCGGAAUGACAAAUGAUUUCAAACACAUUGGUGCAUUUGCAAGGUUAGACCUUCUCAGUUGUCUCUGGUGAAGGAUCUCAUCAGUUCAGCAUGGUGGGUGUCGCGGAUUUCAAAGGUAUAGAAGGCUUGAUGGUCACCACGUGGUUGUGUUUUCAGGGUCCCAGCUUAGUUCAUUCAUCCAUCCAUCUGGUCUUUCACCUGAUCUCACAUGUAUAUCCUGCUUUCAGCAAGAAGCAGACACAUCCUGGAGAUGAAGGUUGAUGGAACAUGCUCCUGCUCUAAGGUGGCCUCAUCUACUGCUGCUGUGGGAUCAGUCUGUUGGGUAAAGAGUCACACUGAGAGGCAGGACAUGAGUUGUGGAGCCCUGCUGAAUGUCUGCAAUCUGGGCUUCAUUGCAUGAUGGGUGAAGAUUGCUCAUCUGUAAGACAAGGAAAGAGGCCUCAGAGGAAACAACUCUGCUGAUACCUUGAUCUCAGACUUCUGGUCUCCAGAACUGUGAGAAAACUAAUUUCUAUUGGUUAAGUCACCCAAUCUGUGGUACUUUGUUGUGACAAUCCUGGCAAGCUUAACACUGUCCAACUGAAGGUGGCAUCUUUAUGAUGAUUGCUUAAUGAGGAGCGGCUUCCAGAGUAGUGAUUAUAAUUGUAACCUUAGCUUUACAAAUUCUCGUGAGCAACGAAAAUGGGAGGAACCAUUCAUAAGGGUAUGUAUUGUCACUGGCAGAUAUCUGUGCUUCUGAAAGGGAUAGAAUCAUUUCUCAACUAGGUUUUUGUUCCUUCAUUUUUCUUGCAUAUACACACUUGAGAGUCAUGAAAUGCCCCCAGGCCUGUGUAGUCCUCAGACAAGGACAAAACUUUCUUCUCAAAAACGUUCUAAGUGCCGUCCCAGUUUAAGGCAUUAAAAAAAAAAGUGGCCGGGACUCUGCCCCUGCCCUCUGGAAACAAAAUCUUGCAGAGACCUGGCUGUGCAGCUGGAUCACCUAAGGAGCUAAGAAGCGUCAGGUGUUCACGUCAGCCCCAGGCCUACUGACAAGUCUCCUGGGCCCAGAUGAUCCUGAAGCAGUCCACUGGAGUCUUGUGUUGGAGACCACGUAAGGUAGAGAUGCAGACGUCUAUAUCCAAUGCAAGCAAGACCUUGCACGUCCCCUGCCCUUCUGUACCACUGCAUCCUUGCUGAGGCACAGGCUGGAGAUGGCUUUGUUUGGGGACAAACAUCAAGUAGGCUCCACACCCAGAGUAGAACGCAACAUGGGACUUCAACUCACAGCCCUGAGAUCAAGACCUGAGCCAAGAUCAAGAGUUGGAUGCUCAACUGACUGGGCCACCCAGCAGAAAACUUGUUUUGGAUUUAGAACCUUUGUUCUACAUGGAAGAUUCAGGAAUCAGUGGAGCUACGUCUUCUGUGUUUAUAGGACAAACCAGACUACCUCAAGACUACAUUACGGGAUGAACACUGGAUCUACCUCGUGUAUUCAAGCCACACAUUUUUCUCAUUUAGAAAAAGGGAAUUAAGAUUCUUACCUGAUGAGACUGUGCUUAUAUCCCAGACCCGAAGCCCUUCUUUCUGACCUCCAAAGGCAUAAAUAAACGGCAAAUCAGGACAACAGGAAGAACAGAACAGAACUCCCUAGGAAGAAGAAAACAGAUGGUCAGUUUUUUCAGUCCUUCCAGAAAGCCCCAAUCUAAACCCCUGCUCCUACCUACACAAACUUGAACCAACUCACCAGUACCUCUUUUAAGCCUCUUGCAAAGUAGUUCAGAAUCAAGGUGGCAGGACCAUUACCAUAGACGAAGCCACACAAGUUCAGCACGAUGGCCAUUCCGUGAGGAUGUGUGCACUCUGACUACUCAGGUCUCUAAUCUGCUCAGUAUUCCUAGAAACUUUUAUUUUCCUUUUUAAGCAAUGAUGCUACUACAGGUCACCAUUAAAUGACUUUUUAAACUUGUAAUUUUUUUGUUUAUUACUAAUACAUAUGCAUUAUAGAAAAUA